AAAGUGCAUCCUUGUACAGGGU
rnacentral:miRNA from 1 species